rnacentral:rRNA from 1 species
UGGGGAAUAUUGGACAAUGGGGGCAACCCUGAUCCAGCCAUGCCGCGUGUGUGAAGAAGGCCUUUUGGUUGUAAAGCACUUUAAGCAGGGAGGAGAGGCUAAUGGUUAAUACCCAUUAGAUUAGACGUUACCCGCAGAAUAAGCACCGGCUAACUCUGUGCCAGCAGCCGCGGUAAUACAGAGGGUGCGAGCGUUAAUCGGAAUUACUGGGCGUAAAGCGAGUGUAGGUGGCUCAUUAAGUCACAUGUGAAAUCCCCGGGCUUAACCUGGGAACUGCAUGUGAUACUGGUGGUGCUAGAAUAUGUGAGAGGGAAGUAGAAUUCCCAGGUGUAGCGGUGAAAUGCGUAGAGAUCUGGAGGAAUACCGAUGGCGAAGGCAGCUUCCUGGCAUAAUAUUGACACUGAGAUUCGAAAGCGUGGGUAGCAAACAGGAUUAGAUACCCUGGUAGUCCACGCCGUAAACGAUGUCUACUAGCCGUUGGGGUCCUUGAGACUUUAGUGGCGCAGUUAACGCGAUAAGUAGACCGCCUGGGGAGUACGGCCGCAAGGUU